GGGCGUAUAGCUCAGUUGGUUAGAGCGCACCCCUGAUAAGGGUGAGGUCGGUGGUUCGAAUCCACCUACGCCCACCA
rnacentral:tRNA from 3 species